UCUUUUUUUUUUUUUUUUUGUCUGGUUUUGGUAUCAGGGUAGUGGUGGCUUUACAGAAUGAGUUUAGGAGUGUUCCUCCCCUUGCAGUUUUUUGGAAUAGUUUCAGAAGGAUAGGUGUAAGUUCUUUGUAUGUUUGG